AGAGUUUGAUCCUGGCUCAGAUUGAACGCUGGCGGCAUGCCUUACACAUGCAAGUCGAACGGCGGCGCGGGGCAACCUGGCGGCGAGUGGCGAAGGGGUGAGUAAUAUAUCGGAACGUACCCUGGAGUGGGGGAUAACGUAACGAAAGUUACGCUAAUACCGCAUACGAUCUAAGGAUGAAAGUGGGGGAUCGCAAGACCUCAUGCUCCUGGAGCGGCCGAUAUCUGAUUAGCUAGUUGGUGGGGUAAAGGCCUACCAAGGCAUCGAUCAGUAGCUGGUCUGAGAGGACGACCAGCCACACUGGAACUGAGACACGGUCCACACUCCUACGGGAGGCAGCAGUGGGGAAUUUUGGACAAUGGGCGCAAGCCUGAUCCAGCAAUGCCGCGUGAGUGAAGAAGGCCUUCGGGUUGUAAAGCUCUUUUGUCAGGGAAGAGACGGUGAGGGCUAAUAUCCCUUGCUAAUGACGGUACCUGAAGAAUAAGCACCGGCUAACUACGUGCCAGCAGCCGCGGUAAUACGUAGGGUGCAAGCGUUAAUCAGAAUUACUGGGCGUAAAGCGUGCGCAGGCGGUUUUGUAAGUCUGUCGUGAA
rnacentral:rRNA from 1 species